rnacentral:rRNA from 1 species
UGAUCAUGGCUCAGAUUGAACGCUGGCGGCAGGCCUAACACAUGCAAGUCGAGCGGCAGCACAGAGGAACUUGUUCCUUGGGUGGCGAGCGGCGGACGGGUGAGUAAUGCCUGGGAAAUUGCCCGGUAGAGGGGGAUAACCAUUGGAAACGAUGGCUAAUACCGCAUAACCUCGUAAGAGCAAAGCAGGGGACCUUCGGGCCUUGCGCUACCGGAUAUGCCCAGGUGGGAUUAGCUAGUUGGUGAGGUAAGGGCUCACCAAGGCGACGAUCCCUAGCUGGUCUGAGAGGAUGAUCAGCCACACUGGAACUGAGACACGGUCCAGACUCCUACGGGAGGCAGCAGUGGGGAAUAUUGCACAAUGGGCGCAAGCCUGAUGCAGCCAUGCCGCGUGUAUGAAGAAGGCCUUCGGGUUGUAAAGUACUUU